rnacentral:rRNA from 1 species
GACAAACGCUGGCGGCGUGCCUAAAACAUGCAAGUCGAACGGACUCUUCGGAGUCAGUGGCGGACGGCUGAGUAACACGUAGGUGACCUGCCCUUGAGUGGGGAAUAACGGUCCGAAAGGAUCGCUAAUACCGCAUACGACCGCUGCAUUUUGGUGUGGUGAGGAAAGCCGAAAGGCGCUCGAGGAGGGGCCUGCGUCCGAUUAGCUAGUUGGUGGGGUAAAGGCCUACCAAGGCGACGAUCGGAGCUGGUCUAAGAGGAUGAUCAGCCAGACUGGGACUGUGACACGGCCCAGACUCCUACGGGAGGCAGCAGUUAGGAAUCUUGGGCAAUGGGCGAAAGCCUGACCCAGCAACGCCGCGUGGGUGACGAAGGCCUU